rnacentral:miRNA from 1 species
AGAGAUGAUGUUGGUCUGAUG